GCAUCAGGUGUGUGUUGCUGAAAGCACUCAAAGACUUAAAAAUCCAGAAGACUUCUAAGGACCUGGCUCUGAUAUGGUGUGCUUGUAUGAUUUGUAUCCCUCUGUCAGCAGCUGAAUGACUAUGUGUGAAAUGUGCGGGGUGCCCCCAUGUUGAGAGAUUUAGGCUGCAGACCCUCGCCACUUCUCAUCCUGACAAACAUCCUCCCCAGCAGGAGCAGCUAAGGGACCCUCCAGAACAAUGCCAGGAGGAAUGACUUAAUUCGCCAGGCCAGAUUUACAGCCCUUCCUGCACAGCACCUGCUCACAUUGUUUCCCAGGAUUUGGCUUGAAAACUUUGAAGUAUUGGUGAUAAACACUGGACUGCAGACACCCCCCUUAGUUAGAGAUUGUUUGAGAGGUCUCUUUUUAUUUGAGAUGAAGAAAUCAUGAACAUCAUGAAUAAAUUCUCAGAGGGA